GCUCUGGCAUUGUAUCAAUGACAUCCUCGUCACGGGACCUGGCCAAGACUCUGUGUCCCACACCAUCACAACUAAAACCCGGAGCUUAGCCACUUCCUUCUUGAUCCUGAUGAGAAACUGACGUGGACCAGUGAUUCUGAAACCAUCCUUAGCCUGUGUUCAUUCAUCCUCAGUGUAAGCCAAGCAAACUACCCACCACUGUCUGUCUGGAGAAAGAGGUGUCCGUAUCUGCCAUCCAUGUACUUUGCUCCACUAAAGGCACUAUGACACCCAGGAGGUGGACGGAAACCUCUCCCAGACCAGAAGUAAGAAGACUCAGUUAUCUUACAGAUAAAGGACAUAAUAAAUCACCAAGAAGCACAGGAAAUUAUUCUGGUAAGACACAGAAUCUCUGCUUUCUAUGGAGAUUACU